rnacentral:rRNA from 1 species
AACGAACGCUGGCGGCAUGCCUAACACAUGCAAGUCGAACGAGGCCUUCGGGUCUAGUGGCGAACGGGUGCGUAACGCGUGGGAACCUGCCCUUAGGUUCGGAAUAACUCCCCGAAAGGGGUGCUAAUACCGGAUAAUGUCUUCGGACCAAAGAUUUAUCGCCUUUGGAUGGGCCCGCGUUGGAUUAGCUAGUUGGUAGGGUAAAAGCCUACCAAGGCGACGAUCCAUAGCUGGUCUGAGAGGAUGAUCAGCCACACUGGGACUGAGACACGGCCCAGACUCCUACGGGAGGCAGCAGUGGGGAAUAUUGGACAGUGGGCGAAAGCCUGAUCCAGCAAUGCCGCGUGAGUGGUGAAGGCCUUAGGGUUGUAAAGCUCUUUUACCCGGGAUGAUAAUGACAGUACCGGGAGAAUAAGCUCCGGCUAACUCCGUG